AUGAGUGCUUUUUCUCCUCUCACCCUAGAUGAUAUUGAAAGGUAUAGCAAGCGAUACAUGAAGGUCUAUAAAGAAGAAUGGGAACCAGAUUGGAGAAGACUUCCAAGAGAGAUGAUGCCAAGGAAAAAGUGCAAAAAAGGUACGCUGACUAAUGUGACCGGAAUCCAGCUUGACAAAAGUGUUGCUGAGAUGGGGAAUGCAUAAGCCAAGCUCAGGUUGUGCUCAGUAUUGCAAAUUCUCUAAGUAUGUCUGGCAUUUUGAUUAUUUUGCUGGCCCUUAGUGGCUGCUGACUUUUAGACCUUCUAUUUUCUUGAAUGAAUCUCAUUCUUUCAUUGUGAAGAUUUGCUGUGCUAGCAAAUUCUCUGUCUUAGUUGUAGAGAUGAAGAUUUUUAUGAUCUUACUGGCUCUAUUCUACAUUAUUCCAUGACACAUUUUAAAAUCAGGGGCACUGUUGACAGUUGUUCGCUGUUGGGGAAGGAGAGUCAGCCUUUAAGGAUGUGGCCACCGUUGGUUGGGUUGACAAAUUUGACUCAGUAGAUUAUUAAAAGAAGGACAUAAAGUUGGGAAGGAGAACGUGAGUAGAUUUAGG
rnacentral:lncRNA from 1 species